AGUUGCCGAUCGGGGUCACGCCGGGAACUCUAAGGGGACCGCCCCGGACAACGGGGAGGAAGGUGGGGAUGACGUCAAGUCAGCAUGGCCUUUAUGUCCAGGGCUACACACGUGCUACAAUGGUUGGUACAAAGGGUUGCCAAGCCGUGAGGCGGAGCCAAUCUCAAAAAGCCAACCUCAGUUCGGAUUGCAGUCUGCAACUCGACUGCAUGAAGUUGGAAUCGCUAGUAAUCGCUGAUCAGCAGGCAGCGGUGAAUACGUUCUCGGGCCUU
rnacentral:rRNA from 1 species